GAGGGAUCCACGUGGAGAGGAGGUAGAAAGUGACCACGGAGGAGCGGCACUGACAAAGCCCUGCGGACUGACUUUUGCUUUCAAUGUUUCUACCUCUUUUAAAACUUGAGUCUAAUUAGAGCUCCAUUGCUGAAGAAGUCCUGGGCCACAGUGAAAGAUCAGUCUCCUGGCAAUCUACCUGCUGCCUUGGCAACUCAAAAUUUAACCAGGAUUGGAGCCUGGAAAGGAACUCCUCUGAAUGCUUUAUUUAUAUAGCCAUCCCAAUAAUUAACUCUUAGUCCAGACAUUGGACAGGCUGAGCAUAUGUUCAAGAGAAGAGUUUCAUAGUGUAAUUUACCAGCAU
rnacentral:lncRNA from 1 species